CUUGGUAACGAGCGGGUUAUUUCCGCCUCUCCCUUCACGUCCUCCUCGCCUCGUGGUAAAGUAGCGCACCUCUCCCUCCCUGCCUCCCUUACCUGCCCUCCAGCUGACAAAGAACGCUCCGCAAGGCCAGGGUCAUGGGCAGGAGUCGGGAGGCGACGGCUGGUCGGGUGUCGUCAGAGGAUCGGCUCUGAAAAUGUCGCCGUCCAUCGCCUCGCUUCAGAUCCAUCCCAUGAUAACAUCAACACCUCGCAUCCGUUUCCUCCACGCGUCCUUGGCCUCUCCUUCCCUCAGACAGUCACAGAGCACAGAAACACGCACACCCAGGCGGUCACCUCAGCCCCUCCAGCCCUGCACGGGACCCUCACGCCGGGCCCGCCGCUGACGCCGCCGCGGUAAGGCACGACCCGGCAAAAAAACGGCUUCGUGUGAAUCUUGCUGCUCUUGGUCCUGAUCAAUUUUACGAAUGUCUCGCUACACCACAAUUCUCAUCCUCCGCCCUCCCUCCUCCCUCCCUUCCUCCUUCCCUUCCCAUCCUCUACCAUCUCCCUCCCUCCGUCCGUCUCCACCC